AUGUGACCAUUGAUCGAAUAUGUAAUUACUCGGGUCUUGAAAUGUAUGGAAAAUUAGUAAGCAGCUCCUUUGUUGAAUGUUAUUUGUGUUGUGCGUGACAUCCCAGACAAAGCACCUGAGCAGUGAUGUUCAGAUCUUUUAAGUCUUCCAGGUUUCCCUGCCAAAGCCUAACCUUAAUGCAAAGCUGGGAAUUGCAUUGUUUUAGCUGUGAUAUACCUUUGAAGAAAUGUAUGGGUUGUGCAUUCAAAUAUCAAAGGGGCUUUCUCAGUUUGUCACACUUUUUAGUUUUUUUUCUCUGUUAGCCUGGAGCAGGAAACCUAAGUGCGUAUAUAUCUUUAUCUUUUGUUUUUUUCUUCCUUCUCAGUUUCUUUUUUUUCUGAUUCUAAUUUACAUGGAAUAUUUGGUUUGUUGAAAUUUGUUGCUACUUGGGUAUGCAUUCCUGCUGAUCUUGCUUCAUAAAAUACAGAAUCAAGCUAUAAAGGCAUAUUUGAUAAUUCAGUCUAGAGAGACUCUGUUUUUAAGACGCCCUCAGAUUUUCAUUGAAAGGAAGUCUGUCAAGGCAUUUAAAUGUACGUUGUGGUCAAAGUGUUUAAUUCUAGUCUUCUAAUUAAAAUCUACUGCUAAGGCAGUAGAUCAAGGUGGAUGGAUGUGACUAUAGAUCUGGUUCUGGUGUGGAUUCAAGAGUUUGCUCCUCACAUGAGUAUUGCCUAAACUAUGGUGAUAAGAAGCAGUUGUGUCGGUCAGAAUCAUGCUUUAAAGGUGUAAUUUAUUGUUGGAUUAUAUAUUCUGUUUUAAAAUUUUUCUGUUACUAAGUUACAUUAAUGUCUGGAGCUUUUUAAAAAUCUGAAUUAAGGUUUUGUAUGCUGUCUUUC
rnacentral:lncRNA from 1 species